AUCCCUUCUUUUCCGUUGUCUGCACUGCCGCGCGACUCUCCGGCCAUCUGUAUACGGUCUCUCCGUCGCACGUCAUCUCUUCGCAAAGCCACUGCUCGAUUUCUUUCGCGAAGAUUUGGGUUCGUUCUUCAUAGACUUCAACGUGGUUAAGGAGCUUAACAAAUUUGAAAGCAAAGGUAAUAAAGGCGGCAAACCGGCGAGGGGCAGGAAGGAAGCGUGAUGCCAUAGGAAAC